ACGCUGUAAACGAUGUCAACUAGCCGUUGGGACACUUGAUGUCUUAGUGGCGCAGCUAACGCGAUAAGUUGACCGCCUGGGGAGUACGGUCGCAAGAUUAAAACUCAAAUGAAUUGACGGGGGCCCGCACAAGCGGUGGAGCAUGUGGUUUAAUUCGACGCAACGCGAAGGACCUUACCUACUCUUGACAUCCACGGAAGACUGCAGAGAUGCGGUUGUGCCUUCGGGAACCGUGAGACAGGUGCUGCAUGGCUGUCGUCAGCUCGUGUUGUGAAAUGUUGGGUUAAGUCCCGUAACGAGCGCAACCCUUGUCCUUACUUGCCAGCGGGUAAUGCCGGGAACUUUAAGGAGACUGCCGGUGACAAGCCGGAGGAAGGUGGGGACGACGUCAAGUCAUCAUGGCCCUUACGAGUAGGGCUACACACGUGCUACAAUGGCCGGUACAGAGGGCAGCAAAGCGGCGACGUGGAGCAAAUCUCAGAAAACCGGUCGUAGUCCGGAUCGCAGUCUGCAACUCGACUGCGUGAAGUCGGAAUCGCUAGUAAUCGCGAAUCAGCAUGUCGCGGUGAAUACGUUCCCGGGCCUUGUACACACCGCCCGUCACACCAUGGGAGUGGGUUGCACCAGAAGUAGCUAGUCUAACCGCAAGGGGGACGGUUACCACGGUGUGAUUCAUGACUGGGGUGAAGUCGUAACAAGGUACCCGU
rnacentral:rRNA from 1 species